rnacentral:tRNA from 1 species
AAAGGUAUGGUGUAGUGGAAACAUCUCUCCCGCCAGGAGAAGAUACAGGUUCGAGUCCUGUUGCCUUUU